rnacentral:rRNA from 1 species
UACGUAGGGUGCGAGCGUUGUCCGGAAUUAUUGGGCGUAAAGAGCUCGUAGGCGGUGUGUCGCGUCGGCCGUGAAAACCUGGGGCUCAACUCUGGGCGUGCGGUCGAUACGGGCAUCACUAGAGUUCGGCAGGGGAGACUGGAAUUCCUGGUGUAGCGGUGAAAUGCGCAGAUAUCAGGAGGAACACCGGUGGCGAAGGCGGGUCUCUGGGCCGAUACUGACGCUGAGACGCGAAAGCGUGGGGAGCGAACAGG